UAGGAGGGGGGGAAAACAAUCAGGAGCAUCUCUCUGAGCAGCCCUUUCCAACAAAAUCAAAACGGGGACUAGCGAGCCACAGAGCGGCCCGGACGUCCCUGCGGGGAGGCCCGCGGGCUGGGGACCUCGCGCGUCACCUGGCCCGGCGGCGCGGCCAGCGGCAGGGUUUCUUUUCUUUGAAUUUUUGGAAGUUAAGGCUGACCCUCGGCUUCAGUGCUUUUGCCAACGUCUCCUCCACUGACAGGAACCAGCAAACUUCGAGACUCAAAUGAGCGUCUUAAUUUAUUGACGCAGAGCAGGUCUGCCGGGGGCCCGGUCCUCGGCGCGCCCGGCCCCGCACGCCCCCAGCCUCGGCCCUCCAUUUGAUCUCUGGUUCCUGUUUGGAGGAAGACUGUUUUUAAGACAAGAGAAUGCGGGUGUCUGCUCUCCUCUACUAGGACCUACAUCAGCGUUAAGACGAUUGGGAACAAAGGCCGUGAUUCCUGCCCAUGCCCUCCCUGCACCACAAACCCUGGGUCAGUUAGGACAGAGGAGGAGCCAGAAACACGAAAGCUUCACAUGUGAGAUAAAUGCACUCAAAGACGCCUCGCAAGUAGCUCUGGCGCUUCGGAUGUAAAAUGGAUCACUCCUCAAUCUGUAAUAGACCCUUCCGUGGAGCUCUUCAAUCAAACCUCAGAAUUCAAGGCGUUUUGUAGCAUCCUAAACAGAAGGAUAUUGAAGGGAGCUGAUUCUGCUUUGAUCCUUGUGCUUGUUGUCAAAGCGCUUGGGAUUGAAGAGACUGUUGGCUACAAUUGACUGUGACAAUUAGGAGAUGAUCAGAGUCCUAGAGUGGAGCACUUAAAGGGUAAUUUACAUGUCAGUUUGUCGAAUAAAAAAAAAAAAGAUAUUCAGCUAAGGUUUUUUUUCCCCCUCCAGCCUUGUAAACUGCAAUUUGUGCUCUGGUUAGAAAAACCUGGCAGAGGAGUUAGGAUAGCCAUUACCAUUUGAAAAGAAGCAAUCAUAAGGCCGCUGCUGAGCCCUUUGUCCACUAAAAAUGCUGAUUUGCAGGCGGUGAGUGAAAAAGUGGAACUGUCACUAAAUAAAACCUUGAGCUAGGUAACUACCUCCCUCCCACCCCAUGGUGGCUUUUUUGAUGUUUGUUAAAGGUGCUUUAAAAAAAUGGAUCUUAAAUCCUACACUUACUAUCGUUGUAACAUUGUUAUUGGUUAUGAAUGACCUUUCCUAAAAAAAUAAUAAAAGGAUGCAUUGAGGAAGCGGUAGGUGGAACGCACGCCAGCAGUCAAUGGAAAGGGCUAAAGCUGGCUACCAGAUGUAUCUUAUUCGUUUCCCUUUUGUACAUCAUCACAAUUUUCCUCUAGUCCAUCCUGUGUGCCGCGCUAUUUCUCCCCUACUGUAUCAGUGUGCCCCUAGGCUUUUCCGUUUUCUUUACACUCCAAUUUUAAAGUGGGAACUGUAUUUCUAACCUUUGCAUGUUUAGCCUAUUUGAGUGCAGUUGGCUAAGUUCUUUCCAGUUAUUAUGAAUAAAAGUGCUAUGUAUACUACAA